UAUAGAGUUUGAUCCUGGCUCAGGACGAACGCUGGCGGCGUGCUUAACACAUGCAAGUCGAACGAUGAAGCCUUUCGGGGUGGAUUAGUGGCGAACGGGUGAGUAACACGUGGGCAAUCUGCCCUUCACUCUGGGACAAGCCCUGGAAACGGGGUCUAAUACCGGAUAACACUCUGUCCCGCAUGGGACGGGGUUAAAAGCUCCGGCGGUGAAGGAUGAGCCCGCGGCCUAUCAGCUUGUUGGUGGGGUNAUGGCCUACCAAGGCGACGACGGGUAGCCGGCCUGAGAGGGCGACCGGCCACACUGGGACUGAGACACGGCCCAGACUCCUACGGGAGGCAGCAGUGGGGAAUAUUGCACAAUGGGCGAAAGCCUGAUGCAGCGACGCCGCGUGAGGGAUGACGGCCUUCGGGUUGUAAACCUCUUCAGCAGGAAGAAGCAAAG
rnacentral:rRNA from 1 species